UACGUAGGUGGCGAGCGUUGUCCGGAAUUAUUGGGCGUAAAGAGCGUGUAGGUGGCGGGACAAGCGUGCGGUGAAAGCUCGGGGCUCAACCCCGAGUCGGCCGUGCGAACUGUUUUGCUUGAGCACUGUAGAGGCAGGCGGAAUUCCGGGUGUAGCGGUGGAAUGCGUAGAGAUCGGGAGGAACACCAGUGGCGAAGGCGGCUACCUGGACCAGCACUGACACUGAAGCACGAAAGCGUGGGGAGCAAACAGG
rnacentral:rRNA from 1 species